UGGGGAAUUUUGGACAAUGGGCGCAAGCCUGAUCCAGCCAUGCCGCGUGCGGGAAGAAGGCCUUCGGGUUGUAAACCGCUUUUGUCAGGGAAGAAAUCUUCUGAGUUAAUACCUCGGGAGGAUGACGGUACCUGAAGAAUAAGCACCGGCUAACUACGUGCCAGCAGCCGCGGUAAUACGUAGGGUGCAAGCGUUAAUCGGAAUUACUGGGCGUAAAGCGUGCGCAGGCGGUUUUGUAAGACAGAGGUGAAAUCCCCGGGCUCAACCUGGGAACUGCCUUUGUGACUGCAAGGCUUGAGUGCGGCAGAGGGGGGAAUGGAAUUCCGCGUGUAGCAGUGAAAUGCGUAGAUGUGCGGAGGAACACCGAUGGCGAAGGCAAUCCCCUGGGCCUGCACUGACGCUCAUGCACGAAAGCGUGGGGAGCAAACAGGAUUAGAUAGCCCUGGUAGUCCACGCCCUAAAACCGAUGUCAACUGGUUGUUGGGAAGGUUCCUUCUCAGUAACGUAGCUAACGCGUG
rnacentral:rRNA from 1 species